UGGCAGAAGAAUUAAAAAAUAAGCUGAGCACCUGAAUGCUUGGGUGAAGGCAGUUUUAAUAAAGGAGACCUGGAACAAAGGUGAAGUUUGGUUCCUCCCCUGCCACUUCAGCAGUGAAUAGUGUUUGCCUAAGAAGCCAAAAACUCAGUCUAGAAUAAAACCCAGCGAUAUUCUAAGUUUGCUUCUGGGUUUUUGUGUUUUUUUUUUUUCUUCUUUUGUUCACUAAAACACCAUGCUCUAAUCAGUUUAAUGUUCUCUGGAUCUUCUAAAACCUCAGGUAAGCAAAAAAUGCUUUAUCACAUAUUUCUCCUUUUGCUUCUGUUACAGUAUUAAAUCUUCUUUCCCUCCUGCAGGGCUCCUGGGUAUUUCUAG
rnacentral:lncRNA from 1 species